GGCCAGGGUCGGUGCAACAAUGAGAGCUCCUUGUUGCGGUCCAUCGUCCGCUGACAGAUCGAUCGAGGGCCUCGCGCGCUGCAAGAAGAUGGCCGCCGAUCGGAGGCUGCGCACGCCCUGCGCGUCCCAGAGUUGCUAGAAGCAGAAUCCGACGGCGCGGAGACGGAGGUCCAGCCAGACCGUCGGCAAAAAUCCGUCGGCAAAUCCGCUACGUGGAGAAACGUCGAAUCUCUCGAAACCGCGAUACCGAAGAAGUGCAUCAUUUCGGCGCCAUGGUGCCGAGCCACUCCACCAUUUUGUACCGCUAUGCGCCAUGCAGCCUCGGGCUGGACCCCUCGAAAGACAGCGCCCAUUGCAGCACCGGUUUGGAUGCUGCAUGGGCGUCGAGACGCCUCUCGCGUGGCGAGAAAAACUCGCGCUUAUGCCUACAAAUAACGCCCCGAAGUAAAAUAUUUCCUCCCCCUCCCCCCCAAA